rnacentral:rRNA from 1 species
ACAAGCGGCGGAGCAUGCGGCUUAAUUCGAUGCAACGCGAAGAACCUUACCUAGGCUUGACAGUCAGAGAAAACUGGUAGAGAUAUCAGGUUCCGAAAGGAGCUCUGAAACAGGUGGUGCAUGGCUGUCGUCAGCUCGUGUCGUGAGAUGUUGGGUUAAGUCCCGCAACGAGCGCAACCCUCGUCGUAUGUUGCCAGCAUUUAGUUGGGGACUCAUACGAGACUGCCGGGGUCAACUCGGAGGAAGGUGGGAUGACGUCAAGUCAUCAUGCCCCUUAUGCCUAGGGCUGCACGCAUGCUACAAUGGCUGGUACAAAGGGCUGCAAUACCGUGAGGUGGAGCGAAUCCCAAAAAGCCAGUCUCAGUUCGGAUUGGGGUCUGCAACUCGACCCCAUGAAGUCGGAAUCGCUAGUAAUCGCGGAUCAGCACGCCGCGGUCGAAUACGUUCCCGGGCCUU